rnacentral:sRNA from 1 species
GUUUGGCCAAGUAGGGGCCUGAGGAUUAGGGAGACACAGAUGGAGAGAAACAAAGACCUUAGAAGCUGAAGGGGAAGCUGGGAGGGAUGCCCAGGAGAGCGAGUCCUCAGGAAAAGGCCCCAGAGGACCUGAAGGAGAAGAAGGAGAAGGUGGAGGAGAAGGCAAGCCGGAAAGAGCGAAAGAAAGAAGUGGUGGAGUCUCCAGUCCCAUUGGUGGUGAUGGUGGGCAAGGCAUGCAGCCAGCCUGAGGCUACUCCCUCUCCUGGUCCCCACAGGAGGAGGAGAACGGGGCUGAGGAGGAAGAAGAAGAAACUGCCGAGGAUGGAGAGGAGGAAGAUGAAGGGGAAGAAGAAGAUGAGGAAGAAGAAGAAGAGGAUGACGAAGGGCCCGCGCUGAAGAGAGCUGCCGAAGAGGAGGAUGAAGCGGAUCCCAAACGGCAGAAGACAGAAAAUGGGGCAUCGGCGUGAGCCCCUGCCAACAGGCUGGGGUUGGGAGGCCUCUCUGGGCCUGGAGGUGGGGGUGGGGGCAGACAAGUCCAGCCACUCUUCACCUGGCUCCCUGCUCUGGGCCCUGCACCAGAGCUGCCACCCUCUUCUUUCUCCCCAGCCUUCUCAUUUCCGCCUCUCCAGACACUGCGCCCUCCACCCUCACUCUGCCAUUGUUCCACCUCCUGACCUGCUCCAUCUGAGCUCUCCAGCUGGCCCCCAAUUGCUCCUCUCUCUCUUUGCUCUCUUUCUCCCUCCCCUACCAGCCUCAUUCUUCCUCCGGUAGCCUCUCCCACCUAACCUCUGCAUCCCCCAGCCUCAUGUUCUGCCCCAUCCCUAUCCUGCCUGAUCCCUGGAUCUCCCUCAGAUCCCCUCUUCUCAGACAGCGCCAGGCCGGGGUGGGGCCGGGGUUGGGGCCGAGCCCCACAGCUGCCCCCCUCCCCUCCCUUUUUGUAUAAUUUAAUAAAGAAAUGGUCGCGCUUCUGUUUUUAA